AACGAACGCUGGCGGCAGGCCUAACACAUGCAAGUCGAGCGAGACCUUCGGGUCUAGCGGCGGACGGGUGAGUAACGCGUGGGAACGUGCCCUUUGCUACGGAAUAGCCCCGGGAAACUGGGCGUAAUAGCGUAUGUGCCCUUCGGGGGAAAGAUUUAUUGGCAAAGGAUCGGCCCGGGUUGGCUUAGGUAGUUGGUGGGGUAAUGGCCUACCAAGCCGACGAUCCAUAGCUGGUUUGAGAGGAUGAUCAGCCACACUGGGACUGAGACACGGCCCAGACUCCUACGGGAGGCAGCAGUGGGGAAUCUUAGACAAUGGGGGAAACCCUGAUCUAGCCAUGCCGCGUGGGCGAUGAAGGCCUUAGGGUUGUAAAGCUCUUUCAGGUGGGAAGAUAAUGACGGUACCACCAGAAGAAGCCCCGGCUAACUCCGUGCCAGCCGCCGCGGUAAGAC
rnacentral:rRNA from 1 species